rnacentral:lncRNA from 1 species
AAAUGAGGCCUUAAAAUGCAUGCUAAACCUUGUUCCCUAUCCUGGGCAUGGUAUAUAUGUAUAUAUGUAUUUGCAUAUGGUUUAUGUGCAUUGGUUUAAUUUGGUUUUGGAUUAACGGUAUUACUUUAUCUUUAUCCCAAAGUUACAUGCUAGUGUUCACCCUACUAACCCUCUUUGGGAGCUAUAUCCCCACGCGAUGCAGGAACCGACCAUACUACCACUCCUUUCGAUCAAUGGCAUGGUAAUUCAG